AGGUGGACCAAGAACUGGGGUUAUAUGAAAGAGUUUAUUCCCUCUUCUUGAGCAAUGAAGGUACAUUUCAGGAAUAAUUCUGCCAAUACAUUUGAAAGGGCCAGUGGUAAUUCUCACAUAGAUACAGGAUGAUACACUGCUCCAGUGAGUGGCUGAUUUUGUCACUUGUACCAGCUUCCUUCUAUGGGAAUGACCAGAAUAAUGAACUCUAGAGAUGGACAUGGAGCACUGGCUGGGUUUCAUAUGAAAGAGUUCAUACCUUCUUCUUGACAUGAAAGAAACUACUGAAAAUAUUCCUGCUAUUUCAUCCUCAAAAGCCAGUAGGAAUUUUGCAUCAGUUGGAAAUAAUACUGUAAUUGCAUGAAAUUCUUACCACCUCACCAAAGAAGAGCUAAUUUUGUUGUUUUAUCAGCUCCCUUAUCUGAGAAGCAACACAAUACUGGACUCUCAAGGUUGAUGUGGACCAGAAACUGUGUUUCAUUUGAAAGAGUUUAUUCCUUCCCCUUGAGAUGUGACUUGAAGGAAAGUAUUGGGAAUAAUUCUGCCUCCCAUUUUCAAGGGCCUGUGUGAAUUCUCACAAAGGUGUUGAUAGAGCCUAGAAGGGCCCUGUGCCUUUGCCUUAUCUCUUGGAUGCUGUCUCCACAGAAUGAGCUCACAACUUCUCAGUCAGUGGUUUUCCAUCUCUACCUGUGGUCUUUGGACACCCUUUUAGAAGAUGACUUCUUGGGAACUCUUUGGAGUAAAUGAUACCAAUACAUCACUGAAACAAAACUUUCCAAACAAAAAGCCUGUUAUCCAAGGGGCAUCUUCUGAAGGUGAUGAUUGCAAAGGCGAGGUGGAUUUGGUGCUGUGGCUGCCAUCACUUCUACUGCAGGCUUCAGCAAAACAAUGAUACAGUCUUCCUCAUGCAUGGCGACUCCUCUCUGUCCUGUGUUGCAGUGGACACCUCCUGCAGAUAAGAAAUGCUUAACUGAGAAAUGCUCAUGUCGGGAUAUCAUCGAUGAGACUUUAAUUUGGGCAUGGCGGCUGUUUCCCUUGCUGCCACCUGACUCAAUCCCAGGAGCCUCAGUAGAGGAAAUAUUAUUGCACAAGAAACUCAAAAUGAUGGAAUUGCUUAGUGAUCCCAUAACUAUACAUUUAUAAUUUUCAUUUGCCAUGUGGUAAAUUUUUUAAAUAGGGUAUAUUAAAAAGAAACUGAGUAAAUUUUUAUAAAAAUUCAAAGCAUAUCUAAAUAUCUAAUAUAUAAUUAAGUACUUUCGUUAGUCGCAGUCUGUUCCCCAGUUUUCUUCUGUUAAGGGAGUUGUGUGCAUUUUUUAAGUGGAUAGAUAUGCACACACACACACACACACACACGUACUUAAAAGCUAUAUUGUGGGGUUCUGGAAGUGGGGCCCUAUUGUACACAUUUUUCUGAAAAUUGCCUUUCCUUUAACAGUUUUUUCAAUGCCAUUUUUCUAUUUCAGUAAUGCACUUCUGUGUCAUUUGUUGAAUGACUGCAUGACUAUUUUAUAGAUGAAAUAUAAUUGUUUUAAGCAUUUCUCAUUCGUAGAUAUUUAUGUUAGCACCAAAUUUCUGUGCAGUGAGCCUCCCUAUAUAUCACUAAUUUUGCAUAUGUCUAUUAUACCAUAAUACUUAGCAGUUGAAAUACUGGGAUUAAGGAUAUGCACAUUUCAAAUUUUGAAAAUUAUUACAAGAUUUCCUUAAAAAUGUGGUAAGAAUUUUUUCCUCAUAUGGCAAUGAACGAGAUCGCCAGCUUUCCCACACCUCACAGAUAAUGGAUUUUAUAAAUACUUAAAAUCUUUGCCAGUGUGAUAGCCCAAACUAUUGUCUUAAAUUGUAUUUCUUUUGUUUUGAGUUUGAUCAUUUUUUCAUGUUUACUGGCCAUCUGUACUUUUAAUUUCCUCUUUAUGUCCAAUUUUGAGGGUGGAGGGAAGUCUUAGUCUCUUCAUGAUUUUGAAGAGCUCAUUUAUUAUUGGGAGAAUAAGCUUUGGAUUGUCAAGUAUUACAGAUAUUUUUUACACAGUUUUAAACAUCAUUUUUGUUAUAAGAAUGUGUAUGAUUGUUAUAUGUCCAAGUUAACCAUGUUUGCUUCUAUGGCUUCUGAGUUUCAUGUCAUUUUGGAAAGAUAUUUAUAUUGAUUCCAUAAAACCCUUCACCUAUGUUAACUUCUAAUUCUUUUGUGUUUUUUUAAAUUCAAAUUAGUUAAUCAUGAGAAAUUUUUUUUAUUUGAAAUCUUAAAGUUGCCAAGUUAUUUGCCAUUACCUGCGAUUAUUUGCCAAUAAUUGCCCAUUUAUCUGUAAUGCCACACCUUUGCACAUAUGCUGUAUUCUCAUCUGUGACUGGCUCCAUUUUUGUUCUGUGGAUCUGUGUCUCUUCUGCCUCCUGUCUCAUGUGUCUUCUCAUUGGUGGAAAUUACAGUUUAGACUGCAAUUUCAUCAACUUUAAUAAAUAAUAUAGGGGAGAAUUGGCUUUUAAAAAUAUAAAUCUUCCUACACAAGGACAAGGUAUGUCUUUUCUUAUCUUUUAUUUAGUAACUUUAACUACUGUUAAUAUGUUAACUUUGUGGUGGGGUAUUUUCUUUCAAUUUAUUUUCUUCCUUGAUAAUUUUUAUGUAUCUGAAAGUUUGUUUUGUUUUUAUGGGUUAGUGGUCAACUUACUCUUUCCCAUUACUUCAGAUUUUUCAAAGUAUCUACUAAAUCCUUUGUAAAUACUGAUAGUUUUGAUUCUUUCCUUCCAAAUGAUCUGGGUUUAGUUAUAUUGAUAAAGUUUACUGACUGGUACUUUCACAGCACUUAAAAUUACCCACCCUUGACUUAAUCAGGUUUUGCUGGAAUGGUUGGAUUUGACCAGCACAUUGUUGCUUGUCUAGUAUCCAAAAGACUCCCAGAAAGAGCAAUAAUCAAGCAAAGCUGAGUUUAUAAACCUACUCCAGCAAUGGAAAACACCACUUUGACAAGGGUUAGUAGUGUUUUAAAACUAGGAAAUUAGAGCUUUGGAUCUGGGAUGAUAUGGUUUAAGGUGGGCUUUUCAAGUCAGAGAAUGGGCAAAAUUUGCCAUGCAUAGUUUAAAUGAAAACGGAAUGUGAGGCUAGAUAGGCUAGAUAAAAGUUUUUGUCUUAAAUUAGAUGUUUGCCAAUGUGUGUAAGAUGUUAUCAAUGACAGAAGAGUGAUUUGCUUAGAUGAGCAAACUGUGAAUUUAUUUAUUUGUUUACAGUUCUAUCUUGUUUAUAGGACUCUGCUGGGGGUAGUAUCAGAUCUUAGUCCUAAUAGGUAAGUUAUUUUGAUAGAGGUUGUCUCAAUCAUCAAUAUAAGAUGCUAAUUGUAAAUUUGAGAUAUUUUUGAGUAUCAUGUUAGAAAGUCUCCUAUGUUUUAUAUAUUUCUAAGGAAUUUUAAUCAAAACCAGGUGGUAGAUAUAAUCAAGUGCUUUUUGCAUAAGCUGUAUUAAUUUUUAAUUAAACUUUUAUCAGUGUGAAAUAAUUUAUUUUCUACUACUGCACUUUUGUUUUAUUCCUUGAAUGAGAAAACACUAUUUGGUGAUGAAAAAAAUGUUUUACUCUUUAAUUUGAUUUGGAAUUUUUACAAGUACACUGUUAAAUUAAUCUGCAAUUUUCUCAUUUUGUCAUGCUUUAAUAUUAGAUUUUCUGAUUGUGUUAAAUAGUUCUGAGUGUUCUAGAAUGUCUUGAAAAGCUCUAGUGUUAACAGUCAAGUAUACGCAUCAGUUCAGUCUCUGAGCUCGCCUUUGUUUUUGGUGGUUUUGAGUAGAAAUGAGACUAUCUAGAAAAAUCUUCUCAUUUAUUUCUAUGGUUAUUGUUUGUUUCUUAUUUUAUAUCAUAUUUAAUUUGUUCUCCUGGAAAAUCACAACCCAAGCAAAUUUUCAAACACAGUAUCAUGAGGCUAUGCAACAUGUUCUUUCAUUUCUCUUUUAAGUUCUUGUUUCAAUUGAUAUCCAUGUUCGUUCCAGUUUGGUUAUUUUUGCUAUGCCUAUUUUAGUGAAAUAAGAAUGACUCAUGAAUGUUUAGCAUCACCAGUUCCCUCUCCCACCUCCCCCAAACAGCUCUUUGGUGUAAUUUGUCUGUAUGUGUGUGUGUGUGAUGUUCAGAUUUAUGUAUGUUUUUUCCUGUAUUCCUUUAAUGAUUUUUAAAAAUAAAUUCUUAGAUAUGUUAUCCACUUAUUUUCACUUGUUAUUAGUAAUGAAAGAUUUGCUCCGUUGUGAAUUUUAUAACACUUUUCGUUAUGAAUACAGUGGAAACAUUCAGAGUAUAAGGAGAAAAGAACAGUCAGCUUGCAGAUACUAGGAAGCCAAGUUCCACCAUUAUCAGCAUUUUGCCAUAUUCACCUCAUGUUUUCUUAAAGUAUUUUCAAAUAAAGUUAGGGAAAUCCUAACACUUCUUUCCCCCAGAUGCCUUUAUAAAAUUUUAUUUUUAAGUCAUAGUAUACAUUAUAAAAUUCAGAAUUUCCAAAAGGAUAUUCAGUGAAAAAUAAUUCAUUUCUCAAUUAUGUCCUCUAUAACCACCAUUGCAAUUUCUUCUUCCUGAAGACAAUUCGUGUUAUAGAUUCUUGUUUUCCUUUCAGACAUAUACACAUAAACACACAUACACAUCCCAAAAUGUCUAUGUAUAGAUAGAUACAUACAUACACACACUUUUAUAAUGUUCUGUAACUUCUUUUAUAUAUUUAUAUAAUGUAUAAAUAUUUUAAUAUUUCUAGCAAAUCAUUUCAUAUCAGCAUAUGAGGUGUUUCAUUACUAUCUUUAAUACUUACAUUUGUGCACAGAUAAUGCAUGGACUUUAGUUGUUUAAUUCAAUAAGUUUUCUUAAAAGUAUAUAACCAUGUAACCCAUGUAACUAUAACAUAUUCAGGAAAUGGAAUCUUUUUAUUAUUUAAGAACCUUCACUACUUCCUCCUUCCAUCCAAGCCUAAUUCUCAUAGGAAACAGUGUCCUGAUUUCUAUCAGCAUUUGCCUGUUUUUGAAAUUAAUCUAACUAGAUUCACAUAGUAUAUGUCUGGCUUCUUCCAUUCAUCAUAAUGAUAUUGAGAUUCAUCCAUGUCACUUCCUAUAUUAGUAGGUUCAAAUUUUUUUUAAGUUGCAGAGUAACAUUCCGUUGAAUGGCAUAUUACAGUUAAUCCAUUUGCCUGUUAAUGGACAUCUGGGUUGCUUCUAGUUCUUAGUUAUUUUAAAUGUGCUAGCAGAUCUUUUAUGUGAUUACAUAAAAAUGGAAUUUGCUUCAUCAUAAGAUGGACUUUGCUUAACUUUAUAAGAAACUGCCAAAGAGUCUUACAGAGGUGGAGACUUUUUACCGCUUCAGCCAAUGAUAUUUUCUUGUCCUACACAUCAUUAUCAACAUUGAAAGUUGUUAUUUUUUUAAAUCUGACUUGUUUGGGUGUGAAGUGGUAUCUUCUUGUGACUUCAAUUUAUAAGUUGUUUACUUGAGAAGCUAAACAGUGUUUCAUGAGGUUAGCUGCCAGCUAUAAACCUUCUUUAGUAAAAUUUCUGUUUAAUUUUUCUCAACAUUUUAUAUUUUAUUUUGAAGUAAUUUUAGACUUACAGGAAAAUUUCAAAAACAGUACAGAGAUUUCCUAUAUAUUCUUUACUCUGUUUUAAUAUUAACAUCUUCUAUACUAUUAUUAUAACAUUAAUACACAGAAAAAUUUUUGAAAACUGGGAACUAUUAUCGAUAUAAUACUAUUAACUAGUCUGAAGAUUUGAAUUUUGCCAAUUGUCCCACUAAUAUCCUUUUUCUAUUCAGGUCCACCUUUUUUCUAGUUCAGUCCAAUGUAAGAUCCCAUAUUAGAUUUAGUUGUAAUAGUUUCUUAUCUCUAUAUCCAGCCCCUGUUCUUGGAGUGUUCUUCUGUCAUUCUUUGUAUUUCACAACCUUUUGGGCACUUUUGAAGAUUGCUAGAAUAAUUUUGUAUGAUAGACCUUAAUUUGGAUUUAUCUGCUAUUUUCUUGUGAUGAGAUUGGGUUAUGCACUUUUAGUAAAAAUAACACAGUGAUAAUUGUGUGUGCUUUUCAGUGGAUCAUUCAGGAGUGCAUGAUGUCUUAUUUUUACUAUAUUAGAUAUGACCAUAUGGUUAAGGUGGUGUAUGUUAGGUUUCUCCACUGCAAAGUUACUAUUUUUCUCUUUGUAAUUAAUAAAUAUUUUGUGAAGAAGAAGUACUUUGAGGCAUUCAAAUAUUUUAUCUCACUGAAUUCAUUCACUCAUUAAUUUUAGCACCCACUGAUGACUCUUGCCUGCAGUAAUUAUUAUUAUGGUGUUUGCCAAAUGCUGACUUCCUGUUUUCAUGAUACUUUCUACACUUAUUCACUAGAUCUUGACUGCAAGGAAGAACUGUCCUUUCCCCCAUUUAUUUAUGUGUUUGGUUGUGUAUCAGUAUGGAUGUAUACUAUUU